ensembl:lncRNA
UGGGGGUCUAUGGGGUCUCUAUGGGGUCUCUAUGGGGUCUAUGGGGGUCCAUGGGGGUCUAUGGGGUCACUAUGGGGGUCUAUGGGGUCUAUGGGGCUCUAUGGGGGUUAUGGGGUCAUAUGGGGGGGUCUAUGGGGGUCUAUGGGGGUCUCUAUGGGGCUCUAUGGGGGCCUAUGGGGUUCUAUGGGGUCUCUAUGGGGGUUAUGGGGUCAUAUGGGGGGGUCUAUGGGGUCUGUGGGUCUCUAUGGGGGUCUAUGGGGUCUCUAUAGGGGUCUAUGGGGAUCUAUGGGGGUCUAUGGGGUCUAUGGGGGUCUAUGGGGUCUCUAUGGGGCUCUAUGGGGCUCUAUGGGGGUCUAUGGGGUCUCUAUGGGUGUGUAUGGGGUUCUAUGGGGGUCUGUGGGGUCUCUAUGGGGGUCUAUGGGGUCUAUGUGGUUCUAUGGAGUCUCUACGGGGGUCUAUGGGGGUCUAUGGGGGUCUCUAUGGGGGUGUAUGGGGGUUAUGGGGUCAUAUGGGGGGUCUAUGGGGGUCUAUGGGGGUCUAUGGGGUUCUAUUGGAGUCUAUGGGGGUCUAUGGGGGUCUCUAUAGGGGUCUAUGGGGUUCUAUGGGGGUCUAUGGGGUCUGUAUGGGGUUCUUUAGGGUCUCUAUGGGGUCUCUAUGGGAGACUAUGGGGUUCCAUGGGGUCUCUAUGGGGUCUAUGGGGGUCUUUGGGGUCUCUAUUGGGGUCUAUGGGGAUCUAUGGGGUCUCUAUGGGUCUCUAUGGAUCCCUAUGGGGUCACUAUGCGUCUCUAUGGGGUCCCUAUGUGUCUCUAUGGGCCUCUAUGGGGUCUCUAUGGGGUCUCUAUGUGUCUCUAUGGGUCUCUAUGGGUCUCUAUGGAUCCCUAUGGUGUCUCUAUGGGUCUCUAUGUGUCUCUUUGGGGUCUCUAUGGGUCUCUACGGGUCUCUAUGGGGUCUGUGGGGUCUAUGGGGUCUCUAUGGGGUUCCUAUGGGGUCCCUAUGGGGUGUCUAUGGGUCUUUUUGUGUCUCUGUGGGGUCUUUAUGGGUCCCUAUGGUUCCCUAUGGGGUCUCAAUGGAUUCCUAUGGGGUCUCAAUGGAUUCCUAUGGGGUCUCUAUGUGUCUCUAUGGGGUCUCUAUGGUCUCUAUGGGGUCUCAAUGGAUCCCUAUGGGUCUCUAUGGGUCUCGCUGGAUCCCUACGGGGUCUCAAUGGAUCCCUAUGGGGUCUCUAUGGGUCUCUAUGGGUUUCUAUGGGUCUCUAUGGGGUCCCUAUGGGUCUCUCUGGGUCUCUAUGAAUCCCUAUGGGGUCUCUAUGGGUCCAUAUGGGUCUCUACAGGUCUCUAUGGGUCUCUAUGGGUCUCUGUGGAUUCCUAUGGGGUCUCUAUGUGUCUCUAUGGGGUCUCUAUGGAUCCCUAUGGGGUCUCUAUGGGUCUCUACGGGUUUCUAUGGGGUCUUUAUGGGUCUAUGUGUGUCUCUAUGGAUUCCUAUGGGGUCUCUAUGGGGUCUCUAUGUGUCUCUAUGGGUCUUUAUGUGUCUCUAUGGGGUCUCUAUGGAUCCCUAUGGGCUCUCUGUGUGUCUCUAUGGGUUCUAUGGGCUCUCUAUGGGGUCUCUAUGGGGUCUCUAUGGGUCUCUAUGGAUCCCUACGGGGUCUCUAUGGGUCUCUAUGGGUCUCUAUGGGUCUCAAUGGAUUCCUAUGGGGUCUCAGUGUGUAUGUAUGGGGUCUCUAUGGGGUCUGUAUGGAUUCCUAUGGGGUCUCUAUGUGUCUCUAUGGGGUCCUUAUGGGUCUCUAUGGUUCCCUAUGGGGUCUCAAUGGAUUCCUAUGGGGUCUCUAUGUGUCUCUAUGUCUCUCUAUGGGUCUCUAUGGGGCAGAGCCCUUUGAGCCCCCCCCAACCCCCCCCCAUUGCAGUUCCGGGCUCGUGGUCGCCGUGGGGUCCGUGGGGCGGCUGCUCGGUGACGUGUGGGGCCGGGAGGGAAAGCAGACGGAGGGGGUUCUGUGGGGCUCUAUGGGG